rnacentral:rRNA from 1 species
UACGUAGGGUGCGAGCGUUGUCCGGAAUUAUUGGGCGUAAAGAGCUCGUAGGCGGUCUGUCGCGUCUGCUGUGAAAUCUCAGGGCUUAACCCUGAGCUUGCAGUGGGUACGGGCAGACUAGAGUGCGGUAGGGGAGACUGGAAUUCCUGGUGUAGCGGUGAAAUGCGCAGAUAUCAGGAGGAACACCGGUGGCGAAGGCAGCCCCCCUGGGCUAACACUGACGCUCAUGCACGAAAAGCGUGGGGGAGCAAACAGG